ACGGCUCAGUAACACGUGGAUAACCUGCCCUAGGGAAGGGGAUAACCCCGGGAAACUGGGGAUAAUACCCUAUAGGUUACAGAUGCUGGAAUGCUCUGUAACCCAAAGUUCCGGCGCCCUAGGAUGGAUCUGCGGCCGAUUAGGUUGUUGUUGGGGUAAUGGCCCAACAAGCCAGUAAUCGGUACGGGUUGUGGGAGCAAGAGCCCGGAGUUGGAUUCUGAGACACGAAUCCAGGCCCUACGGGGCGCAGCAGGCGCGAAAACUUUACAAUGCGGGCAACCGUGAUAAGGGAACCUCGAGUGCCUGUAAAUGCAGGCUGUUUAGGUGUUUAAAACGCACCUGGAGAAAGGGCCGGGCAAGACCGGUGCCAGCCGCCGCGGUAAUACCGGCGGCUCGAGUGGUGGCCACUUUUAUUGGGCUUAAAGCGUUCGUAGCUGGGUUGUUAAGUCUCUUGGGAAAUCUGGCGGCUUGACCGUCAGGCGUCUAAGGGAUACUGGCAAUCUUGGAACCGGGAGAGGUGAGGGGUACUUCGGGGGUAGGAGUGAAAUCCUGUAAUCCUCGAGGGACCACCUGUGGCGAAGGCGCCUCACCAGAACGGCUUCGACAGUGAGGGACGAAAGCUGGGGGAGCAAACCGGAUUAGAUACCCGGGUAGUCCCAGCCGUAAACUAUGCGCGUUAGGUGUAUCGGUGACCACGAGUUACCGAGGUGCCGAAGGGAAACCGUGAAACGUGCCGCCUGGGAAGUACGGUCGCAAGGCUGAAACUUAAAGGAAUUGGCGGGGGAG
rnacentral:rRNA from 1 species